rnacentral:lncRNA from 1 species
UAAUAAACCAAAUUAAAAACUGAAUAGAAAGCAUUACCAACAGAUUAGAUCACUUAGAAGACAGCACCUCAGACAAUGGAGAUAAAACAUAUAAUGUUGAAAAUAAAGUUUAUCACAUGGUGAAGAUGGUAAGAAACCAUGAGCAGACUAUCCAAGAAUUAUGGGAUAGCAUGAAAAGACCACAUUUAAGAAUUUUUGGGAUAGAGAAAGUCAUAAAGAUACAAACCAAAGGAAUGAACAAUCUAGUCAGUGAAAUAAUAACAGAAAAAUUUCUAAACCUGAAGAAUGAAUUAAUUGAAAAUCAAAUAUAAAAGGCUUAGAGGACACUAAAUGUACCAAAUCACAAUAGAUCUACACCAAGCCACAUUAUAAUGAAAAUGCCUAACAUACAGAAUAAGGAGAGAAUUUUAAAGCCACAAGAGAAGGGAAUCAGAUUACAUAUAGGGGGAAACCAAUUAGGAUCUCUUCAAAUUUCUCAACCCAGACCCUCAAAGCUAGAAGAACCUGGAAUAACAUAUACCACGCUCUGAAAGAAAAUGGAUGCCAUCCAAGAAUCUUAUAUGCAGCAAAAUUAAGGUUCAGAUUUGAUCAUGAAAUAAAAACUUUCAUGAUAAAAAAAGUUAAAAGAAUUUACAAUGAGAAAGCCUGCACUAUGGAACAUCCUUGGCAAAAUGUUCCAUGAGGAGGAAAUAAAAAACAACAAUGAAAAUCAUCAAAGGGAGGUAUUACACUAAAGGAAAAACCAAUCAACCUCUGGCUGGGAUAAAGAGACUACUCUUAUUUUCUAUAUUGAUCUAAGUACUGUAAUUCUUGGCCACUGCACCCUUUACUGCCCCCUCUCAGUUGCCACAGUCUUAGCCUUAGUUUUCACUGGAAGAUUAACAGCAACUGCUCCAGCCAGUUGGCAUUAGGUUAAAAAGCUUGUACUAGCAAUCUCUCACCUCCUUUUAACAAUAUACAUUGUUAUCAUUGGUUGCUUUAAAUCUGGCUUCUCUUUGUGCACUUGAGCCUCUUAGCUUGUGACUCACAUCUUUAUAUGACUUAAUCAAGCAAAGGUAUCACCAUGACCCUACUUUAUCUUACCCAUUUCUCCUAUCAUGAAUCUAUCUCAGGAACCUACAGACUGGAUAAAAAAGGUCACUCACAUCCCCGUCUAGACCUUGAAACUCCAGGAAAUUAUUUAAAAAUGUAAUUUUCAACAUUAGGGGAAAUUCAAGAGUCUCAUACGUAUUAUUGUUUUUAUGUGAAGGGUCUGUCUUUUCCUGCCUUGUCUAUAAGAACUGCCUUGGUUAUAAGAUCUAUUUGUAGUUUCUUAGAGGCUCUGAUUAAAAGAAAAACAGCAACCUAUGUUAUAAUGUUAUGGAAAUAUAACCCAUUAAAUCAGGAUGAUACUUUUUAAUGCCCAAAGGAUCCAAAUAUCAAAGGGGGAAAUACAGUAGAGAUUCUCUCAAAACACACAAAAAAAGAUAACACAAUGUCAUCAGUAUCAAUGUGAACCUUCCACAACUCAGUUGUAACAUUGUUUGCCUUUAAACGACAACAACAAAAGUCACUCAUGAGAACUAAGAAACAGCUCACUUGGAUGAGAUUCCCUCAGGGAUUCAAGAACUCUCCUACACUCUUCCUUGGAGCCUUAGCCACUGACUUGACUGGGUUUCCAGGACAGAAACUAAAUUUUGUCUUGUUACAAUAUGUUGAUCAUCUUCUGCUGACCAGUUCAACAUAGGCUCAAUGUGUCUCCUUUCUCUGUUAACCAAGGCAAGAUAUGAAGUAUCAGGGAAAAAAAAGACACAAAUCUGUCAGAGACAAGUUAGAAACUCAGUUUUAACAUUAUGUGGGGAUGCCAAAUGCUGGGUACUAAAACAGUAACAACAAAAAAGUGCAGUUUGCACUAUCCCUUCCCCCACCACUCAUUGAAAAGUCUGAGAGUUGAGUUCCUAGAAGCAAGAGGGUUCCUCAGAUUAUGGAUUCCUGGAUUCUUGGGCUUGCCAAAACCCUGUAUAAGGCCUUAAAUGGAGAGGAAAAAAGAUCACCCUUUCAGUGCAGACUAAACCAUGAAGAACAAAUGAAGCCUAAACUCUCUGAGGCCUCAGCCCUGAGUCUUCCUGAUGUAAUCAGAGAGUUCAACCUCUUUAUUCAUGAAAAGAAUGAAAUAACCUUGGGAGUCCUAAGCCAAGAGUUUGGACCUAGGCAAAUGCCAAGACAUAUUUAUCUAAGCAAAUUAACUCAGUCACGGUUGGAUGGCCACCCUGCCUCAGAGCACUGGCAGCCUCUGUUGUCAAGGGAAGCUGACACUAGGACAAAACCUCAAUGUUAAAGUCCCUCACUCAGUUGUAACCUUGGAUAACAGAGGUCACCAUUGGCUCACAAAUGCAUGAAUGACUCAAUAUCAAGUGUCGCUAUGUGAAAAUCCCCAGGUAAAACUCUUAAACCCAGCUACCUUCCUCCCAGGCAAUGCAGGCCCCCAAGACCAUAACUGUUUAGAAGUACUAGAUAGAAUAUUUUCCAGCAGAUCAGACUUGGUCCUAUACACUGAUGGAAGUAAUUUUAUGAGAAUGCCCGAUUAUGCCAUAAUAUUCAACUCCAAAAUAGUGGAAACAGAGGCACUUCUCCAAGGACAGUCAGCACAAAGAGCAGAAUUUUGGACAUUAAUUAGGACACUGGAACUCAGCCAGGACCAGCAAGCCAACAUCUAUAUUGACCCACAGUAUCAUUUUACUACUCUAUAUGUCCGUGGAAAUUUAUAAAAGGAAAGAGGACUCCUUACUGAAGAAUAAAAAAGGAUCAAGAACCAAGCCAAAAUUUUGGAACUUUUAGAAGUAGUAUGGGAGCCAAAGGAGGUGGAAUUGUCCCCUAUUAGAGUCACCAAAAGGGAGAUGACCCAGUGACAAAAGGAAAGCAUCAUGUUGAUACUGCCACCAAACGGGCUGCCUGAAAAAAUUCAAAAUAUUGCUAGCCCAGAAAUGCUCACUUUUUUCAGGUACUCUCCUGAGGAAGAAAAAUGGAUAAAAAAAGGUGUGGGGAGGAAACCAAGGCCACAACAGGAUGGUGGUUCAUAAGGGACCAUCAAGUGUAUAUUCCCGAACAACUAGCUUACAGACUGAUCCACCAACAAUGCGACCUGACCCAUGCUGGGAGCUAUCCAUGAAAUGUGCAUGGACUAAAGUGAUGUUGAAACUAUUAGUCAUGAAAACCUGGUAUUGUGAAAUACCGGUGGGAACCUCGCUGGUUUGAGAAUGUGGCUUCCUGUCUAGCUCCUGCUAAGCUUCUAGCAUAGCCCCAGAGAUGGGAAAGACACCUUGGAGCCACAUAGCCUCCCAGAGAUGGGUAUGGCUUGCCAAAUGCCAAUCAACCUGUUUACUGCAAGACCCCUUGCAGUUAAAUGGAAGAAGCAACCAAGAAGAAGCAAGCACUGAACUGACUCCUCCUACUGAAACCUUACCCCUGCCUUUGAUGUACUCCCACAUAAAGAAUUGGAGCCUUUUUUCAGCUGUUCAUUUCCAGCUCCUAUCAGGACUGGAAGACCCAUCAGGCACUCCUCUUUGAAUCUUAUUUCUGGCUCUGUCUUUAUUUCUUACUGAUUAUUUUAUACUUUUUAUUUCCAAGGCGGCUUACACCUCCUUAGCAGGAACCUAUCCUAUCCAGGUGCUAGUCAUCUCGUUAUAAACCCACAUGGGAAAAACUGCCUCGGGGACCUUACUAGGCUGGUUCUACCUCACUGCUUGUCUCCCUGCACUCUGCUCCUCUGUCUCUCAGCAUUACACGACCUGCUUACAAAACAAUGCUCACCAGGGAUCUAAUAAAUUGGCAGGAACACAGACAGCACUGUGGACUCUUCCUGUUUGAAGAUACGGAAGUGAACUUCACCGAAGCACCCUAAACCAAGGAUAUAAAUACUUAGUAGUUUUUGUCUGCAGUUUCUUAGGAUGGGUGGAAACUUUUCCAUCCUGAACUAAAAAGACAAAAGAGGUAACUAAGGUUCUCUUGAGGGUGUUAUUCCCAGAUAUGGAAUGCCUAUAACCAUAGGGUCAGACAAUGGACCAGCAUCUGUGACUGAGAGAGUACAACAGGUGACAAGGGCUUUAAAAAUUCAGUGGAAACUACAUGCUGCCCAUCACCCUCUUAAAAAUGAGAUGUUUGCCCCAGGCAAACAUAGGAUUUUUGCCAUUUAGAAUCCUGUAUGGGUGACCACCCCGACUGGUCAGCUUAAGGGGAAACACCAGAUAAUUAAGAGACUUAGGUUUACAUAAAAAGCUACAAAGAUUGGGGAUCAUCAUCUCAAAAACACAUAAGUGGGUCACCUGGGGACCAAAUAUGGAUAAGAGACUUAAAAAGAAGCCCUUAAAACCAAUGUGAAAGGGGACUCACACUGUACACUUAACCACCCCUACUGCUCUCAAAGGAACAGAAAUGAACACUUGGAUCCACCACUCCAGAGCCAAACCUGCUGGCCCAACUGAGGAUCAGGGAAAUGGAGAACAGCCCUUAAUCUAGAAACAUCCCUGUGUCUGAUGCUACAGAGAAGGAGACAGUGAUCUCAAAGCCCUGCUGUGACCAUACCAGAAGCUAGUCUUGAAAGGUUAAGAAUGUAAAGGUUAAGUUUUGUUUUCUUGGUUGAGUUUAAGUUCUGUUUUCCUGAAACCUGAAAUUUAUGUAGGUGUCAAAACAAUUCCCAGAAAAACCGUUAAAUGUAUGUUGAGAAAUGUCUCCUGACCAUCUGGUUGCUCUGUACAAACAACCCCUCCCGCAUUCCCUGACCUCCACAUGAACUCCCCAGUUCAAACAAUGUAUAUAAGCUCUGCUUAAGUUGUUCUCGGGGCUCUCAGCUCCUCUCAAGUGAGCUCUGAGCCCCAGCAUGCUGGACCCCCAAUAAACCCUCUGCUGUUGCAUGAGACAAUCUCUUGGUGGUCUCUUCCUCCGACUCUCGCCCGACCUUAACAGUCUGUCAACCUAUGGCUGAAGACCAAGGAGUUAACUGCCUGGUAAAAAAAUGAAUGAUUUGAUUCUCUACAAAUAUUUUCUUACUGUUUACAUACUGCCUUCCUUUGUCUCAGUAUAUAUGCUUAUUGCUAUUGCUUGUUGUUAUUAAUCUGGUCCCUCACAGCACUGCCAG